CACGUAGGGUGCGCGCGUGUCCGGAAUUAUUGGGCGUAAAGAGCUCGUAGGCGGUGUGUCGCGUCGGCCGUGAAAACCUGCAGCUUAACUGUGGGCUUGCGGUCGAUACGGGCAUCACUGGAGUUCGGCAGGGGAGACUGGAAUCCUGGUGUAGCGGUGAAAUGCGCAGAUAUCAGGAGGAACACCGGUGGCGAAGGCGGGUCUCUGGGCCGAUGACUGACGCUGAGGAGCGAAAGCGUGGGGAGCGAACAGG
rnacentral:rRNA from 1 species